CACGUAGGGGCGAGCGUUGUCCGGAACUUACUGGGCGUUAAAGGGCGCGCAGGCUGUUAUGCGAGUCUGCUGUGAAAUGUACCGGCUCAACCGGUGCCUUGCGGCGGAUACUGCAUAGCUGAGUACUGGAGAGGAAGUGGAAUUCCCGGUGUAGCGGUGAAAUGCGUAGAUAUCGGAGGAACACCGGUGGCGAAGGCGGCUUUCUGGCCAGUUACUGACGCUCAUGCGCGAAAGCUGGGGUAGCGAACCGGGAUUAGAUACCCCCGUA
rnacentral:rRNA from 1 species